CUCUGGUGUUGAGGUCUAGCUUAUGCAGGUCGGUGCUGUAAAUGUAACCAGUUGUUCCACCAAACACAUACAGAGACCCAUUGAUGAUGGCCAUGGCCUGGCCAUAGAUCCGAUUGGGUUUCUUUCCUCUGCAGCUGAGCAGGGCCCAUCUUUUGUACUUGACAUUGCAGACGUGGACAUCGUUGCCAUUACUUUCCCCAAAUGGUAUUCCAGUGCCC
rnacentral:lncRNA from 1 species